UGGCUCAGGAUGAACGCUGGCGGCGUGCUUAACACAUGCAAGUCGAACGGUGAAGCCAAGCUUGCUUGGUGGAUCAGUGGCGAACGGGUGAGUAACACGUGAGCAACCUGCCCUGGACUCUGGGAUAAGCGCUGGAAACGGUGUCUAAUACUGGAUAUGAGCCUCUAUCGCAUGGUGGGGGUUGGAAAGAUUUUUCGGUCUGGGAUGGGCUCGCGGCCUAUCAGCUUGUUGGUGAGGUAAUGGCUCACCAAGGCGUCGACGGGUAGCCGGCCUGAGAGGGUGACCGGCCACACUGGGACUGAGACACGGCCCAGACUCCUACGGGAGGCAGCAGUGGGGAAUAUUGCACAAUGGGCGGAAGCCUGAUGCAGCAACGCCGCGUGAGGGAUGACGGCCUUCGGGUUGUAAACCUCUUUUAGCAGGGAAGAAGCGAAAGUGACGGUACCUGCAGAAAAAGCGCCGGCUAACUACGUGCCAGCAGCCGCGGUAAUACGUAGGGCGCAAGCGUUAUCCGGAAUUAUUGGGCGUAAAGAGCUCGUAGGCGGUUUGUCGCGUCUGCUGUGAAAUCCCGAGGCUCAACCUCGGGUCUGCAGUGGGUACGGGCAGACUAGAGUGCGGUAGGGGAGAUUGGAAUUCCUGGUGUAGCNGGUGGAAUGCGCAGAUAUCAGGAGGAACACCGAUGGCGAAGGCAGAUCUCUGGGCCGUAACUGACGCUGAGGAGCGAAAGGGUGGGGAGCAAACAGGCUUAGAUACCCUGGUAGUCCACCCCGUAAACGUUGGGAACUAGUUGUGGGGACCAUUCCACGGUUUCCGUGACGCAGCUAACGCAUUAAGUUCCCCGCCUGGGGAGUACGGCCGCAAGGCUAAAACUCAAAGGAAUUGACGGGGACCCGCACAAGCGGCGGAGCAUGCGGAUUAAUUCGAUGCAACGCGAAGAACCUUACCAAGGCUUGACAUACACCAGAACACCGUAGAAAUACGGGACUCUUUGGACACUGGUGAACAGGUGGUGCAUGGUUGUCGUCAGCUCGUGUCGUGAGAUGUUGGGUUAAGUCCCGCAACGAGCGCAACCCUCGUUCUAUGUUGCCAGCACGUAAUGGUGGGAACUCAUGGGAUACUGCCGGGGUCAACUCGGAGGAAGGUGGGGAUGACGUCAAAUCAUCAUGCCCCUUAUGUCUUGGGCUUCACGCAUGCUACAAUGGCCGGUACAAAGGGCUGCAAUACCGUGAGGUGGAGCGAAUCCCAAAAAGCCGGUCCCAGUUCGGAUUGAGGUCUGCAACUCGACCUCAUGAAGUCGGAGUCGCUAGUAAUCGCAGAUCAGCAACGCUGCGGUGAAUACGUUCCCGGGUCUUGUACACACCGCCCGUCAAGUCAUGAAAGUCGGUAACACCUGAAGCCGGUGGCCCAACCCUUGUGGAGGGAGCCGUCCAAGGUGGGAUCGGUAAUUAGGACUAGUCGAAAAA
rnacentral:rRNA from 1 species